UACGUAGGUGGCAAGCGUUGUCCGGAAUGACUGGGCGUAAAGGGAGCGUAGGCGGCGCGGUAAGUUAGGAGUGAAAUCCCGGGGCUCAACCCCGGAACUGCUUUUAAAACUGCCGUGCUUGAGUGAUGGAGAGGAAAGCGGAAUUCCUAGUGUAGCGGUGGAAUGCGUAGAUAUUAGGAGGAACACCAGAGGCGAAGGCGGCUUUCUGGACAUUAACUGACGCUGAGGCUCGAAAGCGUGGGGAGCAAACA
rnacentral:rRNA from 1 species